CGUUUCUAGUAGUAGAAUGUCUCGCAAAUGCAAUACAAAUAUACAAAUAAUCCAAAAAUCUAAACAAGAAAUCAAGAAAUGACAGAACAGGUCCAAUUAACAAAUCUACUUCUUGAAUGUCAGUUCGAUUAGCUCACACACACACACACACACAACGUGUCAGUUUGUUGACGGCACUUUCAGGGAAGUUGCCAAGGUUUAGUGACAGACAGACCUGGGAGGAAGGAAAGAAUGAAAGAGAGAGAAGAAAAGUGGAGGAAGAUGUAAGGAUAGAUCAGGAGAGAUUAGAAUCAAAAGUAACCUUCAGCACACACACAUAUCUCUCUGUCUCACACACACACACAUCUCUCUCUGUCUCACACACACACACACACAUCUCUCUCUCUGACACACAUAUCUUUGUCUUACACACACACCUCUCUCUCUCACACAUAUAUCUCUCUCUCUCACACACACACACAUAUCUCUCUCUCACACAUAUCACUCUCUUACGCACACUCACACAUAUCACUCUCUUACGCGCACGCACGCACACACACACACACACACACACACACACACACACACACACACACACACACACACACACACACACAUCUAUCUCUCACACACAAACAUCUCUCUCACACAUACCUCUCUCACACAUACCUCUCUCACACACACACAUCUCUCUCUCUCACACACAUCUCUCUCACAUGCACACACACGUAAGCACACACACACUCUUUCACUCAGGGAGGAGAGCUUUUCCCUCAGUCACACAUAUCUCUCUCUCUCACACACACAUAUCUCUCUCUCACACAUAUCACUCUCUUACGCACACGCACACACACACACAUGCACAUGCACACACACACACACACACACACACACACACACACACACACACACACACACACACACACACACACACACACACACACACACACACACACACACACACACACAUCUAUCUCUCACACACAAACAUCUCUCUCACACAUACCUCUCUCACACACACACAUCUCUCUCUCACACACCUCUCACACACACAUCUCUCUAACAUGCACACACACGUAAGCACGCACACACUCUUUCACUCAGGGAGGAGAGCUUUUCCCUCAGUCCCCUCAGACACACAGACAAGGUUAUAGCAAUAAGAUGUAAUACUUUCCCUUCAAAAUUCAACCUAUUAUGGAUGUCUAUUUGACUCCUAAAUUCUGCGUGGUUACAGGGUUAAUUGUGUGUGGUUACAGGGUUAAUUGUGUGUGGUUACAG
rnacentral:lncRNA from 8 species